GAAAGAAAAAAAGGCGGAAAGAUGAAAAUUUGGGCGUGCGUGCAACAUUUGGUGUAUUUCCCUCCACCGUUUUUCUCUUGCCCUAGUCUCUACACAUCAGUACUCUUCCACCUUCCGUAGCUCUUCUUUCUCACAUUCUAAAAAAUGUCUUGCUCAACCUACCCCUCAAUCCCAGCUUACAGCAUCAUCACAACCUCACAACAAUCCCUCUCAUGGCAUCGACAUUCACUGAGGUAGAAAUUUGUGAUCCCUCGCAACAAGAACUUUCUCACGGCAAGAUCAAUCACUUUUCCUCUAGUCAAGAACUUCCUUUCAAUCCCUCACGAAAAAGUCUUCUCUCUGCCUCAUCUCACACCGACUCUCUUUCUCUCUCUCAUUUUCCAGCACGCUACUAUGUCGGAGAUUUGCUACAUCAUCACUGGCGUCCACUGGCUUCAUUCCUCUACCUACGUAGUGAAAUCAAAUUAAAAUCAGAGAUUUGCAACCAAAGUUAUUUCAGCCUGAAAACGAGAGUAGCUAGCUGAUUCCCUUAAUUGGUUCUUCCACUUUCAUUCUCUUCUUCCUUUUCUUCACUUCCCAAGGUACGGUUCUCUUUCGAUCUGCUUUUUUUAGAUCUUGUAUUCUACCAUUUCUGUAUCUUAAUGCUCCUAUGAGCUUUGAUUUUAUCAUUUUCUUUCUUUUGGUUUUAGAAUUUGUUGUUAGGGGUUCAAUUAAAGGGUUCCUAAUUUACAAAUUGUUAGGGUUUUUCGUAUCAACCUGAGUCUUAAUCAUUGCACACGAGAUUUCUUUUGGAGAGAAGCCUGCUCUUGACAAGUCUAGGCCCAAAACAACUGAGUUUCCUCCGUAGCAUGACAUUGUAACUCAAUGGAAUUGAGGUUAUGUACCAACUGAUCAACAUGCACUAAUUCCAUUCUCUAUCGCGCCUUAAGGGGAACCAACUAGUCAUAAUCACUUCCACAAAAUCAGCCCAGAAGUUGGAGAAACCAAAAAUGAGGGGACGAUAGACUAACUACACCAAACAUGUACACCCAUAACUACUCACACACUUUUAAGGAACAAUAAAAGGGUGAAAAACAAUAUCAAAGCUCUCUACCUGAACAUUAUUUUUAAGAAACAACAUUAUUUUUUUUUAUUAUUUAUGAUUUACUAUUUCCUUUUCAAACUAAAAUAAUUUAUAUCUCAAAACAUACUAUUAUAACUCAAAAUAAAAUAAUAAUCUACACCCCAAACACAAACUAUCAUAAUCCAACUAUAAUAACUAAUUCAUUGCCCCAAACGUCCCCACUUUUCAAAGGUCAAAAACAUUUUGAAGAUCAAAAUACUUCAAUAUUUAAAUAAUUUAAAGAUCAUUGGCUUGGAAGACUGAAAUUUCCCUUGUAUAAGAGAAUCAUAUAGGAGAGAUUAUACUACUCACAAAAACUAAUUCAAAAUUCAAUUCACGUCCCCUAAAAUAAAUUGGUUUGUUGAUAUUGUGUGAGAACAAAAUGAAAUAAUACACUAAAUUUCUCACAGAGAUCCAACCAUAUAUCUCAGAGAAUUAGUUAGCUGAACACUGUUAUAUUAUUAGAACAGAGGAAAAUAAUUAUGGGCUGAAAAUAAAUUUGGGAUUAUGUAUAAAAUAAAAUAAUCUUUUGUAGACCUUUGUUCAAUAUAUAUAUAUAUAUAUGUUAGAUGAUAUAAUUAAAUUUGUUGACGAGUGAAGCUAAUGUUAUCUUAGAUCACUAAUUGACUCAAAAAUUUAAACUAAUGAGUGAAGAUAAUUUAAUUAUAUCAUUUAACCCUUAUUAAUCACGAAUACAUUCAUAUAUUAGCUGAAUUUUGUUCACUUUUGACCAAUUAGCACUUUGUGUUUUUUAAUUCAUGAGGUAGUGUUUGCUAAUUAGCAUACUUUUCUCAAAAGGUCAUAAUAAAGACAUAAUACCAUGGUGUGACUAGUUAUUAUUCUCAUUAUAUUUGAUGUUGACUUCAAAACUCUGUCAUAUUACAAGACUUUUAAAAGAGGAUGUAAUUACUUUGCAUGACGACAAUAAUAUAAUGUUGUUAAACUAGACUCAAUCAUCACUAUGAACAAAUUAAGCUAAAAGAUAAAAUAUUUAUAAUUGCAUUUCACAGAUGUUGUAACUAUGCAAAAUAAUCUGAACUAAUAUAAGAAAACAAUAAGUGAUCAAGUAGGGAGAUUUUCAACAAAGAGACGUUCUAGGGAAUAAAUUACAUCAAUAGAAUUACUAAACUCAAUUGUCUUACCUCUUGAAACAAUUAACACAACACCUAUAAAAUUUUGAAGUGACCCGUCACACAAACUAUAGAUGUUAAAUAAGACAUCCUAACAAUUUCAGAGACAACAAAAGAAUAACAAACUGUAAAUCAAGGAACGAACACACGGAGAUUGGUAACCUAAUUUGGUGAUAAAUCACCUAUGUCUAAAGGACAGUGUGCUCAAGAAAGAUAAUUCACUAAUAUGAAAAAGUCCUACAUUUACAAGGUUGUGCUUAUCUAUAAAAUAAUGACGAUUGCAAUGACACACAUUGAGCCUAAUUUAUUUGAUCACCUAGGCUCCUCUAGAUGUGAGAUUCCUUCUUAAUUGAACUUAGGCUCCUUAUAAGUAUAUGAAUAUUAGUGAAGUAAUACUUAAGUUCCGCCUAAAUGAGUGAGACUCCCACUUAUUAUGAAGAUAUUUUUCCUCUUUGUGAACUUCCUUUCACUUAAAGAACUUAGGCUCCCCCUAAGUUUAAGAACUCUUUCUCUAGGAAUGUUAUCUUAGGGUCCCCUAAGGAAGAGAAUCUCUUCUCUAUCUACUUUGCCUUAGGCUUCCCCUAAAGAUAAAGAUUGCUUCUCAAGAAUGAAUCACUCGCAGCAAGACUGUAGAACAAACCGCCAAGAACCAUGAAUAUUUCUUGCUUUAUGAACAAUGAACACCAUGGAGAUUUGUCUGCGAUCUCUCAUAAAAACAUAUGCAACAACCCUAGCAAGAUUGCUUAUAGCACGUUAAAUAGUGCAGAAAAAAAAGAGAAUAUCCCCAAUCAAAUUUUGCAAAACAUGAAAAAGGAAAGAAUCCAGGAAGAAAAAAAAA